ACGACCUUGCUUGAACAGGAUCUGUUCUAUAGGAUCGUACUUUUGUAUCCUUUAUCACAAAGGAGACCGGAACUCACGUCUGGAAGAUGAAUCAUGACCGUUUGAUCAGAGCGUGAUUUAACGGCUUAACGGGCUCCUCGAGCCUGGGAGCUGUAGAGGAUCGUUCCCAGUCAUCUGCCUGGGUGGUCAGGCGGUUGUCUGACAGACC
rfam:Ricinus communis cultivar Hale ctg_1100012354248, whole genome shotgun sequence.